GGAUGUGGGGGCAAUCUGGCUAUGACAUCUGUCAGCCUAUUGAUUGCCAUAGUUGAUUUAGCUGAUCUGGCUGGCUAGGUGGGUAUCCCCUUCCUCCCUUCCGGCUCCAUAUGCGUCCCUCCCGAAGCUGCAUGCUCAACCAGAGGACGAUGUUCCCCAAAUAGAGGACCUGGGUUCUGUCAAGGGUACACAAGUGGCUAUGCUCCUCUGCUAAAACCUCCAAACAAGCUCUUAAGAAUCAACUUUGAACCAAAAUAUGACCUUAAUUUUUCCUGAGUUCUUUUCCCCUCCCUUUCUUUUAUAGGGCUGGGCUUCAUG
rnacentral:snRNA from 1 species